UACGAAGGGGGGCUAGCGUUGCUCGGAUUGACUGGGCGUAAAGGGCGCGUAGGCGGUUCGUACAGUCAGACGUGAAAUUCCUGGGCUCAACCUGGGGGGCUGCGUUUGAUACGUGCGGACUUGAGUGCGGAAGAGGGGUCGUGGAAUUCCCAGUGUAGAGGUGAAAUUCGUAGAUAUUGGGAAGAACACCGGUGGCGAAGGCGGCGACCUGGUCCGAUACUGACGCUGAGGCGCGAAAGCGUGGGGAGCAAACAGG
rnacentral:rRNA from 1 species